rnacentral:snRNA from 1 species
CGCUUUGCGCUUGGGGCAAUGACGUAGUUAGUGAGGUGAAACCGAGACACGUCAAUUGUUGGUUGAAACUAUCUCCUGACAAGCAUCCUAGUGGUUUCCACGAUAGCAAAUUUCGUGAAUUUCCUAGCAUGGAA